rnacentral:lncRNA from 1 species
GGGGUGGUCUGGGUGGCAGUUGGGAACAUGUCGUGGGAGGAGCCAAGGCCUCACCAUGGUAACCACAGAGCUGCGGCUCCCUUGCCUCCCUGGCCUCCGAGUGUCCCCACCUUAGCUGGAUUAACUGCCACUGGAGGAGCCAUAGUCUAG